rnacentral:tRNA from 1 species
ACCCGGUUGGCGCAAUUGGUUAGCGUAUGGGAUUUUUAAUCCUAGGGUUGCGAGUUCGAGUCUCGCAUCGGGUG